CACGUAGUUAGCCGGGGCUUUCUUCAAAGGUACCGUCAUCUUUUCUUCCCUUUGGACGGAAGUUUACGACUCGAAAGCCUUCUUCCUUCACGCGGCGUUGCUGCAUCAGGCUUUCGCCCAUUGUGCAAUAUCCCCCACUGCUGCCUCCCGUAGGAGUCUGGACCGUGUCUCAGUUCCAAUGUGGCCGUUCACCCUCUCAGGCCGGCUACUGAUCGUCGCCUUGGUAAGCCGCUACCUUACCAACUAACUAAUCAGACGCGGGACCAUCUUUCACCGAUUAUUCUUUGGCAAUCGCUCCAUGCGAAGCUUUUGCUUUAUGAGGUAUUAAUCGUAGUUUCCUUCGGCUAUCCCUCUGUGAAAGGCAGGUUUCCCACGCGUUACUCACCCGUCCGCCGCUUUCCGCCAUAUAAUUCUACCGAAGUGUCCUUUUAUGGCUUCUCGCUCGACUUGCAUGUGUUAGGCACGCCGCCAGCGUUCAUCCUGAGCCAGGAUCAAACUCU
rnacentral:rRNA from 1 species